UACGGAGGGUGCGAGCGUUGUCCGGAAUCACUGGGCGUAAAGGGCGCGUAGGUGGCCUGUGGAAGUCUGCGGUGAAAGCCCGGCGCUCAACGCCGGGUCGGCCGUGGAUACUCUCGGGCUUGAGCUUACUAGAGGCAGAUGGAAUUCCGGGUGUAGCGGUGGAAUGCGUAGAGAUCCGGAAGAACACCGGUGGCGAAGGCGGUCUGCUGGGGUAAUGCUGACACUGAGGCGCGAAAGC
rnacentral:rRNA from 1 species